rnacentral:rRNA from 1 species
AAUACCAAUUGCGAAGGCAGCUUUCUGGAUCAUUACUGACACUGAGGAACGAAAGCAUGGGUAGCGAAGAGGAUUAGAUACCCUCGUAGUCCAUGCCGUAAACGAUGUGUGUUAGACGUUGGAAAUUUAUUUUCAGUGUCGCAGGGAAACCGAUAAACACACCGCCUGGGGAGUACGACCGCAAGGUUAAAACUCAAAUGAAUUGACGGGGACCCGCACAAGUAGUGGAGCAUGUGGUUUAAUUCGAAGAUACGCGCAGAACCUUACCAACACUUGACAUGUUCGUCGCGACUCUAAGAGAUUAGAGUUUUCGGUUCGGCCGGACGAAACACAGGUGCUGCAUGGCUGUCGUCAGCUCGUGUCGUGAGAUGUUGGGUUAAGUCCCGCAACGAGCGCAACCCUCACUUUUAGUUGCCAUCAUUAAGUUGGGCACUCUGAAAGAACUGCCAGUGAUAAGCUGGAGGAAGGUGGGGAUGACGUCAAGUCCUCAUGGCCCUUACGUGUUGGGCUACACACGUGCUACAAUGGCAUCUACAACAGGAAGCAAAACGGCAACGUUAAGCAAAUCCCGAAAAGAUGCCUCAGUUCGGAUUGCACUCUGCAACUCGAGUGCAUGAAGCUGGAAUUACUAGUAAUCGUGGAUCAGCGUGCCACGGUGAAUGCGUUCCCGGGUCUUGUACACACCGCCCGUCACACCAUGGGAGUUGGUUCUACCUUAAGGCAAGGUUUUAAACCCUUGACCACGGUAUAGUCAGCGACUGGGGUGAAGUCGUAACAAGGUAGCCGU